GCCCAGCUGUAACAAAACAAUUAAAUAACAAAUUGUUCGCCAAAUAACUACGAGUAAAAACUUAAAAUUUAAAAGACUUGACGGUACUUCACAUCAACCUAGAGGAGCCUGUCUAAUAACCGAUAAUCCACGAUUAACCCAACCCUAUCUAGCCUAACAGUCUAUAUACCGCCGUCGCCAGCUUACCUUGUGAAAGAAAUAAAGUAAGCAUAAUAACACUACAUUAAUACGACAGGUCGAGGUGUAACUAAUGAUAAGGAAAUAAGAUGGGCUACAUUUUCUAACCCAGAAAACACGGAUAAGCUAUGAAAAUAAAAACUGAAGGAGGAUUUAGCAAUAAGAUGAGAACAUAAUACCCAACUGAAAUUAAUGCAAUGAAGUGCGCACACACCGCCCGUCAUCCCUGUAAAUCACAUAAAACAUAAAUAAUUACAUUAAAUUCCUUUAAAGCAGGGCAAGUCGUAACAUGGUAAGUGUACUGGAAAGUGCACUUAGAAACAAAAAGUAGCUUACGCUAAAGCACUCGACCUACAAUCGAAUAACAUUAAAUAUUAAUCUUUUUGAGCUAAAAAUAAUAUAAUACAAAUAUCUUAUAUAAUACAAAACAAACCAUUUGAUUUACUUAGUAGAGG
rnacentral:rRNA from 1 species